rnacentral:tRNA from 1 species
GGUGAGAUGGCCGAGCGGUCUAAGGCGCCAGACUAAGGAUCUGGUCCGACAAGGGCGUGGGUUCGAAUCCCACUCUCAUCA